ACUAGAGGUACGCUGGGAAAAAAUAUAUGUUUAAUUACACAUUUAAAAAAAGUAUGUUAAACACAAGCAUACUUUUACAGAGGUUUUAGUGUAUUUAGAAAAAAACAUAUAUUUUUUUAAACAUGUACAUUAAUUUUAAUAGGCUAACAUUGCAAUUUCAACAUCAUAUCAUUGAACUUGCAUAAUAUAUUGAUUUCACAAAGUUAGUCCACAUAAAUUUGUUAGUGUUUAUAUUCAAACAACACACGUGACGGACCUGACUAAACCUCAUUGGUUCUUGGGAUUCAGUACGUCACAUUGGCUUCCUGAUUCAGUUGUUCGAUACACAACGUGCGUGAUCGUUGGUAAUGUGGAUUAAAAGUUGAAACUAAAACUGUUAAAUUAUAUAUAGUGAUCAUCAGAGGACUUGGCUGAAACAACGCGAUUCACAUGGAUUACUUCGGCGAUGUUUUUUAUUGCUGUUGCGAUUAACUUUUUGAAAUGUGAGCAGUUUUUAAGUAGGUUAUCAAGUGGAUCUGACAUCGAGGGGAAAUAUACGUUUCUUGGAUUUCAUUAAAGUACAUCGGUUUUUGUUUGAAGAUGAAUGAGAGAACAUGAGGCACAGCGGCAUUCAAAUUGACCAAUCAGAGCCGAGAAUAUCUAAUAAGUCGAAGUAGAGAUGAACAGAUGAAGAUACAGCCCGUAAAAAUACUUAUUCUUGGUGAUAUGUAUAUAAAGGCUAGAUGGCUCAAGGCGGAGUCAGCUGUGUCGUCACUUGGCGGCCAUCUUAGGUCAGUGCUGCCAUAGUGCUGCUCCCUGCUGCUGUGGACGGAAGAGUGCCAUGUAGCGACGGAUCAAACGAACACUCAUGUCAAGCUUGAUGAGGACACAGUCAAAGCUUUAAAAGACCUUGUGAUUAAGUCUUCAGUGUCUGAAUGGCAAGAAGAAGUGACCCUCCACUUAAACGUGACAUUUAAACUGCUCUGUGUUUUGGUUCAGCCAUUUGUAGGUUUAUCUCGAGUAAGUUCAAAUGCACUUCUGCAUUUGUCCAGUAACUUUUUGUUUAGAGAAUUACAUCAUUAUGAUUAUAUAAUUAUUCAAUGGUUGCAUAUUCAUAGUGUACUUUUCAUAUUGAUGUAUUAAUGUUCCACAAUUUGAUAAAAGUAGCUCAUUGCAUUUCACUGAUCUUUGUUUUAUAUUGUAAAAUCAUUUCAAUAGCAGUGAAUACAUACUUAGUUGUUUCUUUAACAUUUAAUUAGUUGUUAAUGAUGGAAGAAACUGGUUCAUAUGUAUGAAUACAGAAUAGGUAUCAUUUUAGAAUGAGUUAAAACAUGUUUUGGUGGCAAACAUGCAGGUAAAAUAGUACAUGUAUAACAUUCUAAUAGUAAACUUGACUGUAAUUCAAAUGUCACAUACAGUACAUUAGAAAUGAUUUAUUUUAUGUAUACAAAUGUGUGGGCAAUAUAUUGUUAUUUCAUUUUGUAUGCUAUAUUAUUUAUGUAAUAUUAUUAUAUCUGAAAUUAUUAAAUUACAUUUAUAAAUGUUUAAAAGGUGGGUUCAAAUGUGCUUCAAGUUGUAACUGAAUACAAUUUUAGAAAAUAGCACAGUUGAGUACACUUAGAUUGUCUUAAGUUUGUCUUAACAAGUACUAAAUACUACUUUUUAGUAUAUUAAGCACAAUUUACUGCACGAAAAUAAAGAGCUUUUGGUACCUUAAGGUUGUGAACUUAAAGUGUAUUUUAGUGAACUUUUUCA